UAGGGCACAAUAUUAGUGCUACAGACAAACAACACGUAACUUAUUACAACAAACGAAACAAGAAAAAAAAAGGCUUCUAGGGAACUUCAAUUCUUAAGAUUUAUAAUUAAGGACUAGGCUUCAAGGUGUUGGCAACAUCAAUCACAAAACGGUAUCUAACGUCAGCCUUCUGGAGCCGUUCCAUGGCAGUGUUGACAUAAUCCGCAGAGAUAAGCUCAAUAUCUGCCGUGAUGUUGUGUUUUCCGGCCAAAUCCAUCAUCUCUUGAGUCUCUUUUAUCCCUCCUACCAUACUUCCCACCACCAUCUUUUUCCCUAUUAUAUAUUCACAACCACAAAUAUAUUCUCAAUGUUUAUCAACUGUACACUUGAAAUGUUAUUAAAUUUGUUAUGAUAAAUUGAUAAUAGUCAUGGAUAUAUAUGUCGGUAGAUUUUAUUAAUGAUACAAAAUACCAGGACAGGCCCAGAGAUUUAAAAAGCUAUAUGUAAUUUAGUAGGAGUUUUAUUAAUAAUUUUUUUUUUUUAAAUUUGACGUGAUAUAAUGCAAUAAGGCCACACGGCCAAAGUGAUAUAUGAUGCAUAAUAAGUCACACAGAUUUAUCAAGCAAGGGUAUCGACCAAACAAGCAAUUUCUAUAUGUUUUCAUGCGGCCAUAUGGUUAUAAUGCAAACCUAGCAUACUGAUUCUAUAUGUACAGGAGUGGAAUUAUGGAACCUCAAUUUAAAACAAUCAGAUCAUGCAAAGGUGAUAAUAAUCAGAUCAUGCGCAUAACAUAAACAUGUUGGUCAGGAUGAUAUAUGAUGCAAACUGGCCACACGGCCAAGUAGAUAUGAUGCACUCAUUCUUAGCAAUCGGAUUCUAUAUGUGCAAGGAUAAUAUUAAAACAUUCAAUCAAGGUUUAGCAAUUAAUCAAUCAGUUUCAGGUAUGAGAUUUAGGUAGACUAACAAUCAGAUUCAAUUAGAUUUUAUCAAGACUAGCAUUUGGAUCAAUAAUCAAAAAUAAUCAAACGGAUUCAAGCAUUACACAAUUUAGGGUUUCGAUCCAAAAAUAGGGUUUCAAUCAUGAAAAACCAAAACAAUCAGUUUCAAGGCUGAUUCUAUCAAUUUUAUUAAUCAGUUUCAAGGCUGAUAUUAGCAAGAUGGAAUCAAACAAUCUGAUUUUAGGAAUACGCAAAUUAGGGUUUAGGGUUUCAAUUCAAAUUUAGGGUUUUAUCAAUCAAUCAGCUUCUAGCAAAUAAUCUUAAACCUCAGAACAGUUGAUUAUAUCAUGAAACUAUCAACCUAGUAUAAUAUGAAACCUCAAAACAUUCAAUUCGGAUUAUGCAGUACACGGAUUCUAUUUUAGGGUUUAUCAAUUCGAAUUAGGGUUUAUAUUAUAACAGAUUCUAACAUGAAAUAUUAAACCUCAAAUCAUUCAAUCAGGUUAUAAAAACUAUCAAUCCUAACUCACAUGGAUUUAAGCCUCAAAGAAACAUUCAAUCAAUCAAAUAAAACAAUCCAUGCACACGUAAAUUAGGGUUUACAGAUUUUAAGGUUUCACUUUGAACAUUAGUUCAUUCGAUUCUGGGUUCUUAGAGUUUAGGUAUACCUUAAACCUUUGAUGGGUUGAAUGGACCACCAAGAGAAUGAGCUUACGUGGACUGGUACAAAUUGGAACCUUACGAGGACUGGUCCAAACUGUUUCCUUGCAGUCCGCGAGGUGAGAUCGGGUACAAGUUGAGAUCGAAAGUGAUUAGGGUUUAUCGAUAGAGAGAGAGGUGAUCGAUAGAGAUUAGGGUUUUAGCAAUGGAGAGAGAUUUAGGGUUUAUGGUCGAUAUUUUAGCUUAGGGUUUCAGAGAUCAAUCGUGCUGAUAACGUGUUAUAAAAGUAAUGGAAAAGUCUAUCUUUAUUCAUAACAUAGAGGUUCCUUAUAUAGGAGAUUACACCGUCAAAGAUAAAUGGAAAUAUUACAAAUCAUAAUUUCUUGGUUAUGAGCCAUCCACGAUAUGGUUCAUAACAUAUAAUGUUUAUUAAUUUGAUUAAGGUAUACUACAUCGCCCCAACCUCCUCAAUAAACAGCAUAAAACUUAUUACAACAAACCAAACAAGAACAAUAUCAUUAUGGAACUUCAAUUCUUAAGAUUUAUAAUUAAGGAGUAGGCUUCAAUGUGUUGGCAACAUCAAUCACAAAACGGUAUCUAACGUCGGCCUUCUCGAGCCGUUCCAUGGCAGUGUUGACAUAGUCCGCAGAGAUAAGCUCAAUAUCAGCAGUGAUGUUGUGUUUUCCUGCCAUAUCCACCAUCUCUUGAGUCUCCUUUAUCCCUCCUAUCAUACUUCCCAUUACCAUCUUCCUCUCUAGACAUACACAAUAACAAAAAAAAAACAUAAUUCUAAUGUUAUUUUCACUAACUUUUUUCUUGUCAAAUGUUUAUAUGUUUAAACCAAAUUUUAGUCAAUAAAAAAGGUUAUUCCGCACUUUUUCUAUACACAAAAAAAUUACCGCAAGAAAGUAAACGGAUUUGUUACUAAAACCACAUAAAUAUGGCUAAAUACGGACAUAAUAGGCUUACCGAAGAUGAGAGGCAUGACCGGGAGCUCGAGUGGCUUUUCUGGUGCACCAACCAUAACAAGUUUUCCCUUAGGCUUUAGCAAACCGAGCAAAGGAAGAAGGGAAUGAGUCGCAGAUACGGUAUUAAUAAUACCAUCCAAUGUCCUCAUUGCAUCCUUAAUCUGUUUUUGGUCACGGCUCACCACGAACGCGUCCGCACCAAGCCUAUUAAUCGCUUCAUCUCUCUUACUAUCCGAAGUACUAAUAACCGUAACCUUAAGACCCAUAGCCUUAGCAAAUUUCACCGCCACAUGACCCAAACCGCCUAGUCCAACCACACCAAUGUGCAUGCCAGGCUUGUCGAGCCCGUGAUAUUUUAGCGGGGAGUAGACCGUGAUCCCCGCGCAUAGUAGCGGAGCAGCAGCGUCCAAUGGGAGAUUGUCGGGCAUACGGAUGAUGAAACCUUCGUCGCAAACCAUGUUGUCGGAGUAACCACCGUAGGUUAUUGUGUCGUCGUAAUACUUGAAUCCGUACGUUUGGAUCGAUUUUGGACAGUAGUUCUCGAGACCUUCGGUGCAGCUAUCACAUGAUCCGCACGAGCCAACCAAGCAACCUACUCCGACUUUGUCUCCAGUUUUGAAUCUAGUCACUUUGCUUCCCACUUCAGUCACCACACCAACAAUCUCAUGCCUGAACAAAUAAAAAAACACAAGUUUCGGAUUUAAAAAUGCUCAUCGCCUAAUUUAAUAGUUCUUGAUGUUCUAAAAAUCGGUUUAAAUUAGACGCCCACGUAAAUUAGUCAUAACCGAAAUGAUUUUAUUAAAACCUAAUUUAUACUAAUCAAAUCGGUUUAAACUGUUCUAAAAAAGAAUAUUAAUCUAAAUUGGUAUAAAUUUUUUAAAUCAGCCAAUAAUGCUAGUUCAAAUCUAUGUCUAGUUUCUUUCUUUUUGUAAAUCUAAUUUUUAUAGGUCAUUAAAAUAAUUUUAUAAUUAAUUUUUAAAUGAAAAUAUCUAAUAGAAAUGUAAAAUAUAUAAUAAUAAAUCAAUAAUUCGUUAACAUCUAAACCCUUUCUAGGCUCCCAGUAACCCGUCUAGUCGAUAGUCCUCUGCUAAACGUCUAAUUAGUGCCUCACAAAUCUUUUGAACAUUUGUACUCUUAGAAAUAAUGUUCAUACGUCGCUUUAUGUUUAAAUAACAUACAUAUUUUACUCUAACACACACAUAUUAUAAGAUUGGUAAAAUAUAAAUUUAUGUAUUACGUACCCGGGGACGAGAGGGUAAGUAGAUAUUCCCCACUCAUUUUUGAUCAUAUGCAAAUCAGAGUGACAGAUUCCACAGAACAAAACUUUGAACCUAACAUCCUUCUCUCCUGUCUCCCUACACAUCAAUUCGACCAAAACUUAUUUUUCAUUAAUACAAAAAGUAUAUAGGGUCAUUGAUAGAUAUUAAUUCACUUGGUGACUCACACGCGCCUAUGCACAGGCAUAACGUUUUUUAAUAAACCAAAAUGUAAUAAUUUUGGAUAAUUUAUAUUAGUUUUAGUUGUAUUUGUUUGUGUAUUUUCAUGUUAUUUUAACUAAAGUUUUAUUUAUAAAUUAUUUAGUUGCAGUGUUAUGAUUUUUUGUGCAAUAUAUUCAAUUUGGCAAUAAUAUUUAUUUCUAAAAUCUAGUGUAAAAAUUGAUGUUAAAUGUGUUAAUUAUUUUUGAUUAAAAUUUUACCAAUUGUUUCUCGAACUUCAUAACCAAGUCAUUACUUUUGGUUGUUACAAUUAUUCUUCUUCUAUUUUGAUUUUGUUUAUUGUAGGAUUAAUAGAAGUUGAAAGAUAUGCAUUUUUAAAAUUAUCUCAGCAUCAAUCAAAACCAUCGUAAUAGAAACAACUUCUUUAAAAUAUUUUUUUCCAAACACGUCAUAGUGUUUAUUUGAUUUUAGAUGUAUAUAUCUAAAGAAGAAUGAAAUUUUCGGAUGGAAGUCGUAGAAAUCGUUUUCCUACCAAGGAAAGAUAUUUUUUUUAUGCAUAAUUUUUUUUAUGUGAAUAAUGAAUGAUUGACUGAUAUUUUAUAUUGAUGUCGAUAGUUUAAUAGUUUAGAUAUAUGAGAAUCAAUUGCUUAUUUAUUACUCCUUCCGUUUCAUAAAGAAUGUCACUUCAACAUUUUUUACACAGAUUAUGAAAAUGAUUGAAAUGCAUUUAAGUUCUUAUUAAUUACACAUAUUCAACCAAUAGUAUUUGAGAUAAAUACAAUUAUUUAUAAAAUCAAUGCAUUUGUAAUUAAUUUUAAUCUCAAAGUUGCAUUGAAAUUCUAAAAUGACACUCUUUUUGCAACAAGAAAAAAAAUACUAAAGUGACACUUAGUAUGAAACAGAUGGAGUAUUUUUGAAGCAUUUAAAUAGUAUUAGAAUUAAGACUUUAUGAUGUAAAACAAAUUGCAUAAAAUUGUGCUGAUAUUUUUGUAGAAAUAAAAAUAUUGUAUAAUUAUCAAAUGGUAUAUCACAUAGUUUCCUUUUUAUUAAAAAAAAAUAUGUUUGAAACAUAUUAAAAUUUCGCAUUUUAAUAGUAAAAAUAUUCCUUUUUCAUAAAAUAUGGUUUCAUUGAUAAAAACUAAAAUAAAAAAAUGAAAAUAUUUCUAGAUAUUGUCAUUUAUAUGAAAUUUCUUUUCAUUAACAAUUUAGUUAUAAAAGGAAUGUACUACUAAAAAGAACAUAAAAUAAAAUAUUAAUAACAACAGUUAUAAUAAUAAACUCAAUUAGUAAUAAACCAUUAUAAUAUGGUUUUAUUAAUAAAAAAGAAAAUAAACAGAAAUAUUCAUAGAUAUUGCCUUUUAUAUGAAAUUCCUUUUUAUAACAAUUUGGUUAUAAUAGGAAUGUAUUAAUAGAAACAAAAUAAAAAUAAAAUAUUAAUAAUGGCAAUUAUGUAAUAAACUUAAUUCAUUAAUGCUAUCAGUGUAAUAAACCACUGUGAGAGUUAACGUGAGCAUGUCACGUAAGAAAGUGACUUCUCAAAUAAUGUUACGGAGAUUUUUAUGUAAAAAAACCUUCUAGAGAAAUGGAAAGGCGAGAGAACUCCAGAAUUGUCUUUCGCGGCCAAUCCAAAUGCCUCCUUUCCCAUAAUGGAUCAAAGAAGAACAAGAGCUAGAGAAAUGGAUUGGAGAAGUAAGCAAGUGUGUGGUUUCGUUUUUAUGUGAAUGCACUUCUAAAUAAUUGAGAAGUUUAAGUUUAUGAGUAGAGAGACAAGAUCUUUAAUAUAGGAAGGGAUUGUGGCACCGACGGGAACGGGAGCCAUUAGGACCAUUCACACUAUAAGAUUACCUCAAUGACUCGUUCUUUUCUUCCUUGUAUAUUUUCUUGCCUUUUUUAGAGGUGUUAAAUCUUUGACUCUACAAGAUAAGUAUGAAUACAUUAGGUAUUAGUUUGUUUGCUAAGCAUGCGUGAAUAUGAUACAUUCAUAAAUUGGUAUGAAUGCAACAGAACUGCUGUUAGAAUAUGAACCAGAUCUGCUGAAACAUUGAGAAGAAGACACGUCACAAAAUAUUCAAGCUCUUAAAGUUUUGGUAAUAGCCAAAAUGAAAAUGUAUUGGUCGAAACUUAAGCCUUGCUCUGACCAAAUAUGUCGUAUCUUCAACAAAAAAAAAACAAAACAAAUUAUAUAUUAAAUAAAAGCAAAGUUUUCAUAACGAAUAUGUAAAACGUGCUUUUAUAUUCCUUAUAACCAAAAAUUUGUCGUUCUUCAGUUCUAUCUAAUUUUCAUUUUCCGAGCAUAAUUAAAAAUCCAUAUUAAAUGUAUGGAACUCGUUGAACCACAUGCUGUAUGGACCUGGCACACCGACAAGUCUGUACGUGCGGGCCACUGCGAACGUUAGGAAAGCUAUUUUCACAUAUUAUUCGUAUUGAUUAAAUCGAAUAAACGUAAAAAUGACGAAAUUUAAUACUACUUCAAAGUUCAAAGUUAUAUGAUUUUGUCAGUGUAGUCGUGUAUUGUUUGUCUGUUCUUGUGGUCUAUACAUCGCCACUUGCUUUUGCUCCCAAAUAGUGUCGUCUACGCAACAUACUCAUAGCUAAACGCGUUUACACUGUUAAGAUACAUGCACCUGGAUAUUAGACCAAACGAAUAGUUUGAAUUUAGUCCCGAAAUCAUACCUUAUGAAACGUGUUUAUACUAUCAAGAGACAAGAGCAAGUUUUCUAUCAAGAGACUAUGCAUAAAAAUCUUGGUACUUUAUAAUCAAUCAUAUUGUUAUUAUUGGUCGGAUUGCUCAGACAACACAGCUUCUAUCAUUUACACCCAGCAUAUUUCAACCUUAAGAACCUAUACAAGACCAAUUAAUAUGAACAGGAAAACAAACAUUCACUUAUACAUGUAAUAUUUUUAUUUUCCAAUAUUUUUGAGAUUUUACAGUAUCACCAGUCAAAACCUACUAUUUGAAUUAAACUUCCCAAGAUCUUAUUAAUAUAGCAAACAUUACAUUCAAGUUGAUUCAAUUUAUAGGGCACAAUAUUAGUGCUACAGACAAACAACGUAACUUAUUACAACAAACCAAACAAGAAAAAAAAGGCUUCUAGGGAACUUCAAUUCUUAAGAUUUAUAAUUAAGGACUAGGCUUCAAGGUGUUGGCAACAUCAAUCACAAAACGGUAUCUAACGUCAGCCUUCUGGAGCCGUUCCAUGGCAGUGUUGACAUAAUCCGCAGAGAUAAGCUCAAUAUCUGCCGUGAUGUUGUGUUUUCCGGCCAAAUCCAUCAUCUCUUGAGUCUCUUUUAUCCCUCCUACCAUACUUCCCACCACCAUCUUUUUCCCUAUUAUAUAUUCACAACCACAAAUAUAUUCUCAAUGUUUAUCAACUGUACACUUGAAAUGUUAUUAAAUUUGUUAUGAUAAAUUGAUAAUAGUCAUGGAUAUAUAUGUCGUAGAUUUUAUUAAUGAUACAAAAUACCAGGACCGGCCUAGAGAUUUAAAAAGCUAUAUGUAAUUUAGUAGGAGUUUUAUUAAUAAUUUUUUUUUUUUAAAUUUGACACAUAUGUUUAUGUAAAUUAUUUCUUAAAUUUUAGGGAUUAUAAUGUUUAAUCUGUCUAGGGUCAAGAUUUUGAAAUUAAGACAAUCCUUAAAUUUGGCUAAAGACAACAUACUCUAAAAAAAAAGUUAGUAUUUCGUCAUGAAAACCAUAUACAUAUUAUAAACGCAGUUACGAGGAGUCCAACUUUCGUCGUAAACGCCAUGUAAAUUUACGACGAAAUAUGUUCGUCGUAAAAUCCAUGUAAGUUUACGACGAAAUACGUGGAAUGAGAAAUACGUCGCAAUCGUUACAUCGACAUUACAACGAAACAUGUUACUGUUAUAUUUAGGUGAAAACGUGUAUUCAAUGUGCUUUAACUUACCUAAUUUCGUCGUAAAGUCGUCGUAAAUAUUAUGUUAAAACCAUGUAAAAUAUUCCUUGUAAAAUCGUUGUUAUAUUUCAACUCCCACAACUCUCUUCCUCACAACACACAGACAGAAAAAAAAAUCCGAAAAAAAAGAUUUCAAAAAAAAUUCUAAGAAAAAAAUGGCCGGUGACGGUAGUAUUUACGAGUUACGGAGUUGGAUGUAUUUGCACAAAGAUUCUGAAGGAGGCUGAUGAACGCAUUUCUGAGCGGGCUAGAGACAUUCAUGCACCAGGCGGGCUGUACACCGAUCACGCAGGAAAGCGGUAAGAUGUUCUGCCUCGGUCGGAAAUACAAGAAUUCAAAAUUUGCACGUAGUGAAACUGUAUGGAAGCAUUUAGUAAACAGAGGAUUUACACCACAGUACUACAUUUGGUAUCAAUAUGGAGAGGGUUAUGGGGAAAAUGAAGCUAGUAGUAGUAAUAAUAAUUUUGAGGAUGCUCAUCAUAGUGAAGAACCGGGAUCAUUUGCAUAAUGAAUAUAAUUAUCAUCAAGAUCAGGAGCAGAUUGUAGCUGAUGGAACUGGAAAUGUAGAAGAACUUAAUUUGGAUACAAAAAAGUUUUAUGAAAUGCUAGAUGCUGCAAAUCAACCAAUCUACACUGGUUGUAGAGAAGAUCUCUCUAAAUUGUCUCUAGCAGCUAGGAUGAUGAAUAUUAAAACGGAUCAUAAUUUACCUGAGAAUUGCAUGGAUGCAUGGGCGGAGUUGCUUAAAGAGUAUUUGCGAGAAGACAACGUGUCUGCUGAAUCUUAUUAUGAGAUUCAGAAAUUGGUUUAUAGUCUUCGGUUGCCUUCGGAGAUGAUUAAUGUUUGCAUCGACAACUGCAUGAUCUACUGGAAAGAAGAUGACAAGUUAGAAGAGUGUCGACUCUGCAAAAAACCACGAUUCAAACCGCAAGGCUGUGGGAGGAAUAGGGUACCGUACCAAAGGAUGUGGUACCUACCAACUACAGACAGAUUGAAAAGAUUAUAUCAAUCUGAGAGGACUGCUGCGUCGAUGAGGUGGCAUGCGGAACAUGUCCAGAGAGAUGGUGAGGUUGCACAUCCAUCAGACGCAAGAGCGUGGAAACAUUUCAACAAGGUACACGCAGAUUUUGCUACAAAUAUUCAGAAUGUCUAUCUUGGGUUAUGCACCGAUGGAUUUAGUCCAUUUGGAAUGUCUGGUAGACAAUAUUCUUUGUGGCCAGUAAAAAUUACACCUCGUGGACGCAUUGUCGCUGGAGAAGAACCGCCCUUGCAAGAAGAAGACGCUAUCAAUGAAGUUGAGGUACCAGAACAACCAACUGAUGAAAUCCUUUUGAUCGACCCGCAAAACUUUCAAUAUGAAGAUAUUUCCGAAGAUACGACAGAUGAAGCAUGUGAAGACGAGUUCGAGAGAAGCUACGAUGAUGAUUGUAAUGAUAGUGAUGAGAACGAAAACGAUUUAUAGUGAUGUAAUAUUGAUGAGAACGAAAACGAUUUAGAGUGAUGUAAUAUUUGUAACAAAUGUUAUAUUUCUCUAUUGUAACGUAUGUUUAAAGAAAUAUUGUUGUUUUACCAUCUUAAUGUAUGUGUAACAAAUGUUGUUUUAUAUAAUAUGUAUUUCUUUAGUUUUUAAAAAAUUAUUUGGAGUUUCAGGGUUUUAGAGUUUAAGUUGGAGAAAGAGCAAGAAGUAGUAGAGAAAGAUAUGAUGUUAGAUGAUAUGUAACUUUGGGGUUUAGGGAUUUCAUUCUCGGUGUUUAGGGUUAAGCGUUGAAAAAUCGUCGUAAAUGGUUAAAUCUAUUCCACGUAAUUUCGACCUAAAUGAAAAAACGCGGGCCUGGUUACUUCGUCGUAAAUGGAAAAAUGCGGGCCUGGUAACUUCGUCGUAAACGGACGUUUUGAUGUAAUUUUUUCGUAAACCGAAAAACGCGGACCUGGUAACUUCGUCGUAAAUGGAAAAACGCGGGCCUGGUAACUUCGUCGUAAUAUUACGUCGCGUUUAUGACGAAACGUUUUCUAUAUAUUGAGACGCCGAGAACGGGGCUGCCUCGUUCAUUCCUCCCAAACUAUUCCUCCCAAACUCCUCUGCUCUCCCUCUAAGGUACACUCUCUUUCCUUUUUUUUUUAAGUUAGUUUAGGUGAUUAAUUAGUUAGGUAAUUAGUUUAGGUGAUUAGUUAGGUAAUUAGUUUAGGUGAUUAGUUAGAUGACGGAAUACUAUAGUUUAGGUGAUUAGUUAGGUAGCAUAAUAAUUUUUUAAUUAUGUUGUCAUAAUUGAUUAAAUUUAUUUUAAUUUUUUUUAGAUGGCUCCUAGAAGGAAACCAGCAGCACCUACUUAUUCCCAGUUGUUUGGCGAUGGUUCCGGUACAUCUUCUUCUGGUUCAUCGUCUUCCGAUGCAGUUCCAGACUCUCAGACUUCUCAGAGAAUUUUUUCGAGUCAUCCUCUUCCACCGCAGAUGCCUCCACCUCCUCCUCCAGCGGCUGCACCUCAGCCUGUCCCAGAAGGUGCAGUUCAUCCGGAUUUGUGUGUGCCUUCAUAUGCUCCAUUCGCGAGAUAUACGGUGGAGGAUUUGCUUGGCCAGCCUGGACGGGAGGGUUUGGAUGUUCUAGACCCCGAGGAACUUAUUGGUAAGUUAUUACUUUUUAUUACAUUAAAAUUAAAAUUAAAAUUAUUUUCUAACUGUUAAAUUGUUUUUUUUCAGGUUUGGGGCUAACGACCGUGUUAGCCGGAGCGUUUCGGCGACGAUUAAGGGUUACUACGACGGGGCAUAUGCGAACUGGAGCAAGACACCAAAUCACGUUAAGAUCACGUGGUUUAAAUGUUUUGCGGUAAGAUUUUUAAAUUUAAUUAAAUUUUCACUUUUAAAUAUAUAUAUAUAUAUAUAUUUUUUUUUUUAAUAUUUAUUAUUAAUUUUAAUUUUUUCAAAAUUUUUGUGUUUCAGCAAAAGUGGCAUUGGUCUUUGGGAAUCACCGAGAGGGUGAAGGCGGAAUUCGUUGCAAAGACAAAGAUCCGCCUCUGCAACACAGUCUCCGAUUGGAAGGACAGGUGGGAGAUCUACGGGUAUGAGAGAAAGCCCACUGAGCUCAUGACGGAUGUGUGGGAUGGCCUCAUCGCCUAUUGGGAGCACCCCUCUUCGAUCAAAAAGGACAAUUUGUGCUCGGCUUCUCGAAGGACGAAGGAUAAAGAUGGUCAUUUGCCCAUGCUUCACAGAACCGGACAAAAACCUCAUGCAGGAGUCCGUCUAGAAGCUGUAAGUUUUGUUUUAAAUAUAUAUUUUAAAAUAUUCAAUCAAUAUAAUUUUUAAUAUUUAAUUUAAUUUUUUUUUUGUAGUUUGAGAAGACGGGAGUCUUACCAUCUCUGUCUGACCUAUUCAAGAUGACUCACGCCACAUCCGACGGAGUUUUUGUGGAUCCUGCAUCUGAGAAACUCUUCUAAGCAGUGGCUGGUCAGAUUGAAGAACGGGAGACGCAACUAACCCAGGAGUCUCCCGAUGGAUUACCAGUCACAUUGUCCACCGAAGAGGCCGACAGAAUCUUUGAAGAGGUACAACUUAAAAUUUUUGUUUACAUUAUUUUAAAUAUUUUAACAUAAUUAACUAUAUUAAUAUAUGUUUUGAUUUCAUAGGUGUCUCCUAAAAAUAAGGGACGGAUAGUCGGUAUAGGCUCUGUUAACGAAAUUGCAAGGGAAACUUCGUCAUACACUUCAAGAUGGGAUGAAGACAUUGCUCAGAUGAAGGCUCGAAUGGAUAGCCAGUAGGUUCGUUUAGACUCUCUUGAGGAUUUGCUAGACGUGAUGGUCGUGGAAAACCCGGUUAUGCAGAGAAUGUUGAGUGAGAGACGAGCCGCUCUUGGGUUGCCAGUACGAGAUCCCCAAGAGUCCGAUCCAACCCGUCAACAGCCGAGCAACCCCACCAACUACUUCGAGGAAAUGUAGUUUUUUUAUAUUUCUGUUUGUAUUAUGAAUUUAAAUAUUAUUGUAUGACUUUUAAAUGCCUUUUUAAAAUAUGUUUUUCAAUUUCAUAUUUCGUUUUAAAAUUUAAAUUAUUUUAAAUUCUGAAUAUUAAAUAUAAAUUAAAAUUUAUUAUAUACUAAUUAAUGAUAAUAUAAUAAGAAUCGAUGUAAACUCCUCGUAAACAUUACAUGGAGUUUACAUCGAAUGUUUACGAGUGAUUAACAUCGAAAGAUUUACGAGGGUUUUACAUCGAAAUGUUUACGAGUGAUUUACAACGAAAGUAUUUACGUAUGCUUUACAUCGAAAUCAUUACGUGGGCUUUACCACGAAAUCUUACGUGUCGUUUACGACGAAUUCUUUCCCUGCGCUUUACGAGGAAUAUAUUUCGUCGUAAACGUAACGAGUCGUUUACGACGAAACCUCCGUUACGACGGACGUUUAACAACGAAACCUCUUUCGAGGUUAAUUCGUCGUAACACCCCGUUUACGACGAAUUUACAACGAAUACUGCCCUAGUAAAAAAUAUGUUUUCUUGUAGUGAUAAUCUCUAUCUUUAAUAUAUUUAACAGGUAUUGAUUAUAAUAUCAGAAAUUCAAAUUUGUCAAAAAUAUAUCUGAAAUUCACGAUAUAUGGGAUCCGGACAGUUUUUGCUUAACUUAAAUAUUUGAAUUCAAACUCAAAGUGUUAAAAUAUCCAAAUUCUUUGAAUUGAAUCUCAGAUGGAAUCUUUUCAUAAAUAAUUCAAUCUUUGAUUUUGAGUAUCUCUUACAAAACUUUAGUAUAUUUAACGGUUAUGAAUUGUAAGAUUAGAAUUUACCAUGUCUGGAGACUGAGAUACUGAUCCGUAAUCUUAAAUAUUAUUAUUUGAAUCUGAAUCAAAAUUUUAGGGUUUCUAAAUUUUUUUAUUUGGAUUUGAUCAGAUGGAAUGUUUUCAUAUUAAAUUCCAUUCUUGAUUUUUUUUUUUUUUUUUUUUCCAUUCUUGAUAUGAUUUUGAGUAUCUUUUGAGUAUCCAAAUGUUGUCUUACCCGGGGACAAGGGGGUAACUAGUAAACCCCCACUCGUUUAUGGCCAUGCUUAAAUCUGUGUGGCAAAUUCCACAGAACAACACUUUGAACCUCACAUCAUUUUCUCCUGUCUCCCUAUACAUUAAUCCCACGAAAUUAAGUUUCAUUCAAAGAAAACAUAUAAUAUGAAACAUAAUUCCUAGAGAUCAAUUCGUUAAAAGGAAACUGGAACCUUCUUGAGAAAUGGAAAGGCGAGAUAACUCCAGAUUCGUCUUUUACAGCCAGUCCGUACGCCUCCUUCUUAAGGACCUCUCCCAUUAUGGAUAAGCAAUAAGAGAAUAAGGCUGAGAAUUAUUCUUUGAGUGAUGAUAUUAAUAAUUGAGAAAUGUAGGGAUAGUGAAGAGGAGUGACACGGUUUAAUAUAGGAGAGGCUUGUUGAACCGAUAUGAGUACUAUUACUCAUCACUCGCUUGGACCAUUUUCAUUACGUUUAUUUGAUGUUUCUGAACUUAUCUUACCAUAUAUACACUAGAAACCAAUGAACUUUCGGACUAUAUAGUAGGUUGAGGAGUGAGUAGUGAGUACUAUUACUCAUUACUCUCUUGGACCAUUUUCAUAACGUAUAUUUGAUGUUUUGUAAUUGUUUUACCAUAUGAACUUUUUUUUGAACUAUAAACCAAUGAGCUUUCAGACUAUAUACUAGGUGAAACCAAUGAACUUACAGACUAUAUAGUAGGUGUGAUCUCACGCGAACAAAAUAUUCUUACGAGAAUUAAUUAUUAUUUUUUUUUAUAAAUCAUAUCGGCUGAUCUAGUCGGUCUUGGGAAGAACGCAUUUAGUACUACAGAUUGGAUUGACUACUACCACACUUUCUGACCCAAGUUUGGAAUAUCUUCCGAUUAAUGACAGAGGUGAACCGAUUAUCUGUUAUGAUCCAACAUAUAAACCAAUUGGACCGAAUCUCAAGUCAAGACUGGCCAAAUGAUGAUAAUUUAGUUUGUAGGAAGAAUCGAACCAAAAACUGAUGUGGAUACGUAUCAAUCCCCAAAAAAAUUACCACUAAACUACUACCGUUUGUUUUUUUCCUACAAACUAGGGGUUUCUCCUCCUCUCUUUCUUUGUCUUUUUGGACCUAUAAUCAAAUGAACUUUCAAUGAAAAAAAAAAAAAAAAAGACUACUACCGCUUGGUUAGAAUUUUACUUCCAAUUUCAUAGUGAAUUACGUUCAUUAUAAAUAAGUUAUACUUUGAGAUUUGAAGAUUUGUUGUGGAUUCAAAAACAUAGUCAUAAGUCUGAUAACUCAUAAUUCUCGGUAACGCUGCAGAUUUGCUUCCCGGACUUCAAAAUAACCUAUGUGCCACGAGUGCGCAAUCUGUUUGCUGAUUUUUUGGCUAAGACAGCUAGGACCUUUCGUAGAGAGUUACUUUUCAUUGGUUGUUCUAUUCCGGUCUGGUUACCCAGACCACCUCAAGCUUGAGUAAUAGAAUGGCCGUUCGACGUCAAAAAAAAAAAAACUCAUAAUUCUCGGUAAACAAAACAAAACUGAAUGUAUGAUACUGAUGUCUUCUUCCUUCGUUUUCGUAGCGUUUUUUUUUUCGUUUUCGUAAUUAUUAUUGCUAGUUUCUUUUAAAAUUUUAUUUUUCUCUCUGCUAUUGAAUGAUAUAAAUUAAAACAGUAUCAUCUAUUUUAAAUAAAAUAUUGAAAAUAGUACUGCAAAAAUCUAUGAUCAAAUUUAACUAUUUUACAAUACCGUGAUUAAAAUAUCUUCAUCGAUUACAGUUACAAAUUAUAAACAUUAAAUUCCAAAAUUAAAAAUAAAUUAUUUAUGUUCAAAUCAUGUUCUGAAAUACUAAUUUACAGUUUUUCAAAUGGAUCCACACCUUCUGAAUAUUUGAAACUAAAUUCAUUGUUAACUGUAAACCCAACUAGUUUUACCAAAAAAACUAUAGGUGUGUUGGAUUUUAAAUUAUGAAACUCGACUUCAUAUUUUUCAGAAUAAGCCAAAAUAAAUAAAUUGGAUAUUGAAAUAAUUGAAGUCUAACGCAUUUAACUAAUUGAAAUAAUACGUUUGCCUACUUAACGUUUGUGUGGAGGGAAUUAUAUCCAGAGCAAAAUCUAAUCCACACGUGGGAAAUGAUCAACCACACUUUUUUUUGAUAAAAAAAAGUUAAAUCCAAAUGGACCGGAAAUUAUCAACCACGUACUUGCAAACCCAGGUUUCAUUUCACUCCGACAAGUCAUUUUGUGUAUAUUCAAAAUAUGAAUAAUGCAAAAACUACAGAAAAGAAAUAUCACAUGGGUAAUACAAACGAACAAAGAAAUAUCACAUGGAGUUUUUUUUUUUCUUAUCUCAAUUCACAAAUAAUAUCUCUUUCGAUAAUUUAAAAUAGUUUUUUUUUCAUUGAUAUGUCUUUUUUUUUUUGCUAUGUCCUUCCAUGUUUUUCAUAUGAAUUUAAUUCAACAAAGAGUUAAAACAAAACAAGAAGGAAAGAAAAACGAACAUAACGAGAACAUCGAUGUGAAACCCAUUAUUUCAAUAUUUUGUGACGUCUCAACAAGAAGUCUUUGUAUAUUUUUCAUUUUAGUUCUAAGAUGUAGUAGCAACCAAUGUGUUCGCAAUGUGACCAAUGUCGAUGACAAACGAUAUUUGUUGUCUCCUUUUGCAAGUCGAUCCAUGAUGGUGCUCACAUACUCCAUGGAUAUGAUUCCAAUGGCUGCUUUUAUACCAUGUUCAGCUGCAAAAUCACCGCUUGCUGCGAUCGAAUAGAUAGGCUUCAAACUUCGCUAUUGGGCUUUAACAUGUUAGUUUUUCAAAAACAUUUGUGUUCUUUUUUUUUUGGUAACAAAACAUUUGUCUUUUCUUAUAAUGUAUUUUCUUCGAACAUAUUUAAUAAAAUAGAAUAUUAUAAAUAUACUAAAAAUAUCAUGAUGGUGAGCGUUGUACUAUUUUAUCUAUCUAUUCUAUUAAAAGAGAAUCAUUCUGAAAAAAUCUACUUAUACAGGGUUACUGCACUUUUUCAUUUAAGUAACAAUUAUUUGGUCUUACCAUCUGUUAGCCCAAUAACAAAAUAUAACCGUAUGUUUAGCUAACUAUAUUUAUUACGCCUUAUCUAAACCAGUAAUAUAACAACUUUAUAUUUGACAGACCAAAACAUGUUCUACACGAUAAUAUAGAACACAAUACAUGUUAUACACAAGACACUAUACACUAUAUAGUUUAUUCAUUGAGUCAUGCUCAUGUUGAUGACAGUUAUCUGUACAAUAAUCAUAUCACAUGUAUUCCUCUCUUAGACCCAAACGCCAAAUGUCAAUACUCUCAUUCAAUUGAAAGACCAGAUCAUACCCUAACCUCGAUGAAACAACACAUUCAUUCUCAAUCUGCCAAAAUGAUUCAGAGCAUAACCUUACAUAUACUGUAUCAUUUUGAAUAAAACUUAUCUGGUAAAAUGCGGUAUCAUUUUGAAUCAAUCUAAUAUGGCAAAGUAUUAGUGCUUAUAUCAAGUCUCUUCUUUGAGAGAGUUCUUAGUUCGUUCUUAAUCUGAGAAGUUCGUUCUUUAUUAAUUAAUUUUUAUCUAUCAAAGUAUCUGUUUUUAAGAAAUCAGAUCAAGUUUAUAAUAACCACGUUAUCCUAACUAUAUAUUGCUAUAAUAUUUUCAAAUUUAGUAUUAACGACCAUAAGUUAUUAAUUUGCUAGCAUAAAUUUCUCUAACCUACUUUAACUGAAUAGAUUUUCGAAACAAUAUGUUCGAUACGAUUUUAAAUACAUAAAAACCGAAAUAUUAGAAUACUUGAUCUACAAGUUUCGUAUUAACUACAAUACAUGAUAAUUUUCCGUGCAAAAAAAUUAUGUUACCUACUUUAACUGGAUAAACAUUAUCGUGUAGAAUUUAUAUUCCAAUAAUAUUCCUUACUCCUCCAACUAAAAAAUCGUAUCAGAUCUUCUUAAUAUUCAACCCUAAAUAUGCGUAUCUUGUGCUAAGAACUGACCCAAACCCGAAAAAUUUACGAAUACCUAUUAGAUCCAAAUUUCUAGGAUCCGAAGGACCCAGACCCAAAAAAAAUUGGACCAAACCCAACCCAAAGACCCAAACGUCCAGGCCUAAGUGUAUGAAUGAGCAUUCUGGUACCCAUUUGGGUACGAGUCAGUUCUUUAGGGUAUUAGAGUUUUUGAGUUCUUGGGUAGGGUUCGAGUCGGUCCUCCCAGAUACGGAUAUGUUCGGUUCUAAUGUAUAUGAACCUAAAAAUAACCAAAUAACCAAUGUAUCUGAAACAUGUUUGUCAUGUUUGUAAUACCUGAACCGACCUAAUUUUAAAAUAUAACUAAUAUAUAUUUACAUUUGGAUAUCUUAGAAUAUACUCAUUCAGUUUUCGGUUUAGGUCGGGUAAUUUUUUUUUUAAUCCGAAUUCUUCGAGUCCUCGACAUUUGGAUCCAAUUAGGUAUUUGAAAUAUUUUUGGUUAUGGUUCAGUUUGAUUCCUUUUGGAAUCGAGUCAGUACGAGUCCAUAAUUCAAAUAACCCUAAAAUACAUGUAAUUUGGGUACAUAAUAGUCUAGCUCAGUUUGGAUAUUUAUGAGCGAAAAAAAAAUUGAAUGUACCCGACCGAAAGACGAAAAAUACCUAAAAUACUAAUUCAUAUCCAACUUUAUUUAUAACCCAAACAAAACCUGCGCUUUUGAAGCGCGGAUCAAAAUCUAGUUACUAAUUAAAGAAUACAUGUAUAUAUGUUGUCAUUUUAUUUUGUUUAAGAAACAUUAUAUAUAAUAACUUGAUGAAAACAAAAUGAAGAAUAAAAUUUUCGUUAACUUUGAAAGAAUGUAAUAGUCAAAAUCUUUAUUUCACUGGUUACAAAAAUUAUUGAUUAUUUAUAACAAAUCUUCCUAUUAAAAAAAUAAACACUCACGUUUUUAUUAAAAAGAUAAAAAUAAAACUCUCCCAUCACUCACUUAUCUAUUAUUAAGAGAUUAUAUGGCUCCUGAAGGACCUUCCAAUCGAAGAUAAUCAUACAUGACACCUGUAAAAAUACUAGUGACCCGGUUUUGAGUGAGAAAAAUCGUAUUGUCACCAACCUUAAGCAACUUUCUCUGAACGUCUAUAUUGAACAAUCUGUAUAACCCAUGAAUUCCAUGUCUAGCGAUCGCGUUAUCCCGACCUACUAACCCAGUCCUAAACAUAGGUUUGGAGCUAGGUUCGUUGACCCGAACUAAUAUAUCGGCAGUGUUGGCUGCAGCCAAAGCCAUUCGAAGAGUAUAAUUUCCAGUUUGGGACACUUGUUUUAAGUUAAAAACAAUUUUCCAUGUCGUUGCUUGAAGUUUCUUUUCUCCAGCUCUCCUGUUUCACAGAAUAUAUUUUCGAAUCAAUAUAUUAAGUGAAAAUAAAACAUUUUGAAAUUUAAAUAUAGCUUACCUGUUGAGAUGUGCAAAGAACCAAUCUUUUUUAUAGUCACUCACUCCAACAGUAAAAGUAACAUCUUCUCGAGGAUACAAUACUUUGUAACGAUCCCAUAGACCAUAUUGUCUAAAUCUGUAACGUUACAUAGAUAAAACACCUUUUAGUAUAUAUUUGAAAACAAUACUGCGAAUCGUUUCUGACCGGGUGCUUAAUUUACAUUACCUGUCUUCAGGAGCAUUUGGGUGAUUUGCAUAUAGUUUGGUCACAAGGGCUGGGUCCGGAUCUGGGAUAUUGAAUUCUAAGGCGGUCCGAUCCGGUACACCGAUCUCCCACAGCGUCGGACCACUUCUUGGCGGCUCAUACACUAAGGAUCCUACGUUUAUUGCCUUACCUACACGUAAUGAACAAAUGAAUUAUCUCUAGUCGGAUCUAUAGGGGCCUAUACUUACACACAUGAGUCACAUGAAAGAAGUUACAUUUGUACGCAAAUAAAUUAAACAUACCUGGUGUAAUUAUAAUUUCACGCUCGUAUUUAUAGUCGCCAAUAUGUCCGGCAGCCCAUGCGAAGAGGUUAUAUGUCCCAGGUCUCACAUUCGCUAUUGUGAACAUCCCCAUUUUGUCUGCUUUUGUCCAAAAUUGAUAUCCCUUUGUCCAAAAUUAAUAUUUAUAACUAUUAAAAACGCUGUGAAUUCACAAUGGUGGUGUUACACCAAAGCUCUGCAUAUUAAAAAAAAUGAAAAAUAGAAAAAGGAGAGAGCAUAAACUGUCUAGACUCGUAACAAAUUAUAGAUCUUCAUGCUUAUUUGUCAUGAUGUGAUUGGUAUCAAUUUUCUUUAUUUAAAAUUUUUAUCUAUUCUAUUAAAACAUGAACAUGACCUAUUGAUAUAGGUGUGGUCCAACUAUUUUAAUACAAUUAUUAAAAUUUCUUAUUAAUCAUUUAAGAAAAAUAUUAUACAAAGAAAAAUAUACAUAUGACUAAAAUAUAAAUAUAAAAAUUAAAUUUCUAAAAAAAUGUAAAACAAAAAAUAUGCCCGCCCUUUUUAAGGGUGAAUCAGAUCUAGUUUAUGCAACUAAAACAUAAUAAUUAAAAAAAAUCUAUUUAAACAAGGUUGUUGAAUCUAUUCAUUAGCUAAUUAUUUCUUGAUCUUAAUUACCUAAUAUUUUCUUAACAAUACAAAGUAACAUAAGAUGCAUAUCAAAUUUUGUGGUUUAGUCAAUCCCCUUGUUACGACAUCAUUCGCUUAUAAUAAUAACAUAUAACAGUAUUUUAUUUACUAGGUUUUAUAUUUGUGUAGUUUGAUAGUUAAUAUACAUAUAAAUAAAUGUGACAAGAAUCUUUCUAAUAACAAUAUAUUUACCUCAUUUCCUAUUUUUAUACUAUUAAACCCACAAAUUUUAUCUUCAAAUAUAUUUUGAAAAAAUUCCAAAACGCAAAUGCUAUAUCAAAACCAUAUAAAUUAAUAGUUUUUAUACUUUUAUAUAUUAAAAAUAUAUGUCUACUGAAUCAAAAAAUAAUCCGAAUUGCGGAUCAAAAUCUAGAAUUCUUGGAAGAGUUCUACCGAUAACAAUACUCUAAUAUCAUAUAGUCAAGUCCAUGUAUUAAAUCGUUAUACAACAAGUUAUGUGGCAAGAAAUUAAUAAAUAUCUUUUAGUCAUCGAAAUUUUUCAUAUCAAAACUUAGACUACUGCCUAUAACAUAUAGUCGGCAUGCCAAUACUUAUUAUAACUAAACAUAAAAAUGUAAUACCUUGUCCCUCGGUAUAGCCCGAACGUUUUUUAAAAAACGCAUCGAUCGAUGCGUUUUUGAACAAAAACGCAUCGAUCGAUCAAGUGAAAAAUAUAAUUAAUUUCCUCGGAAUGUAAAAAAUAUUAAUUUUUUUAAAAAGAUAAAAUUUCUGAAAUUUAAAUUCGAAAAUAUGAAAUUAAAAGUAAAAUUGAAAUCAUAUUAAUUAAUAUUUAAAGUUUCACAAAUAAAAAUAAAACAUUCCGAGUUUGUGGAAAAAAAAAAACUACGGGUCUGGCACGUCCGGGAACACCUCGUUCGGGUACAUCCUCUGCAUCAUCUCCAUCAUUUGCUGGUUCAGCCUCCUCUGUGCCUCAUAGCCCGCCUGUUGAGCCGCCAUCUGGGUCUCUAACAAAGAUAUACGAUCAUCUUUGUCCUUCAACUGGGCCGUAAGUACUUCUGGAUCAACGAAGGGCGGUGGUGCAGAAGAAGGGGGAACCGACCGGGUGCGACGACCCAAACCGACCAAACGUCCCUUCUUCUUUGGAACCGACUGAAUAGAAAAAAGCCAAAUUUAGAAAUUUAAACCAAGAAAUAAAUGAAUUGAACUUUUAAAAACAAAGAACUUACGGAUUCAACGAUUUCGUUGAUUCGAAAUCGGGACAAGUUGGUCGAAGCCGUCGAAGCGUCAUCCUCAGUUUGAAGCUGAGACACUUCGUCUACCACCUGAGUUUGGACCAGGUCGACCACGUCCCUCACAAGACCGUCAUCAAUCUGGCCGGUCUUCUUGUUGGUAUACGCCCUCCUCAUUAGGGCGAGAUCAUCAACCGGCUCGCCAUCAUUUUCUUCCGCCUUGAAAAAAAACAUAAAUUAAAGAAACAUUAGAAAUUAGAAGAAAUGCACAAUAAAUUUAAAUUUUGAAACUCAAAUAAUUGAAGAAAAAACGGUUGAACUUACCAUGCGAUCUCCGAGAGUGGCAAUAGAUUGAGCACCCAAGUUAUGCUUGUAGAUGCCCUUCCCUUAACGGUCGCUCUUGCGGUUGGUGGAGUUGGUGGAAGAAGUUUCUUUCGUCUCUUCCUUAUCCCAAUGCGCACACAACUCCUUCCAGACCGUGUCGUUCAUCGACUUUGGGACCUUUUAAUAAAAAAAAAAGAAAAAUUUAAUAAAUUAAAAAAUAGUUUAAUAAAUUAAAAAAAUGGUUUAAUAAAUUAAAUCGAACCUUAUUUAUUUCCCACUUCUUCUUCCACUCGUUGAUCUGCUUCCCAUAGUUGUCCAUUACUUUAUGGACGAAGUGGUGAUAGAUAAAGAGCGUCUCAUAGGAAUUCCAGUUGAACUCUUGCUGAAAAAAACACAAUUAGUAGAAAAUUUAUAUUAAAGAUUAAAAAUAUAAGUAAAAAAUUAGAAUACUUACCGCAAACUGACGAAACCACAGAACCUGCUUGUCGGUUGGGAAGUGAGUGAAAGUCGGAUGUCCACUGUCGAGGGCCGAGUACAUCAUACGGUUGAUCCAUGCGCUGAUCCCGUUCCCGGAUCGGUUGAACCUUAGUAAAAGAACAAACGGUUAAUAAUGAAUCCAAAUUUAAAGAAAAAAAAAUGUUUAAUUACCAUGUUUGACCCCGUCCAUGUGGAUACGGAGUGAGAUACGGAAGAUGGUCACGACCGGGCUGUUAAACCAACUCCGCAACACGCAUCACUCCCGGAGGACCCGGAUGAACAGGAGCGGAUGCAGCAGCGGGAGCGAGAGGAGCAGGAGCGGGUGCAGCAGAGGGAGAUGUAUGGUUGGAGCUGUGGAGCGAAGGGGAAUCUUGAAAAUGGCUGGAAUCCCGAGACUGGCUCCCCGUACUACCACGACCACGACGCUGUCGAGGCCGGGUCUGAUCAUCAUGAGACCUGUAAAUUUAAAAAAUAUAUUUAAUAAAUACAUAAAUAUAUAAAUUAAUUUUUUUUUAAAAAAAAAUUCCCAAAUAAUUUAAUCACAAAAAAAGAUUUAUAUAUAUUUAAAAUUUUUAAUAAAUAUAUAAAAAUANNNNNNNNNNNNNNNNNNNNNNNNNNNNNNNNNNNNNNNNNNNNNNNNNNNNNNNNNNNNNNNNNNNNNNNNNNNNNNNNNNNNNNNNNNNNNNNNNNNNNNNNNNNNNNNNNNNNNNNNNNNNNNNNNNNNNNNNNNNNNNNNNNNNNNNNNNNNNNNNNNNNNNNNNNNNNNNNNNNNNNNNNNNNNNNNNNNNNNNNNNNNNNNNNNNNNNNNNNNNNNNNNNNNNNNNNNNNNNNNNNNNNNNNNNNNNNNNNNNNNNNNNNNNNNNNNNNNNNNNNNNNNNNNNNNNNNNNNNNNNNNNNNNNNNNNNNNNNNNNNNNNNNNNNNNNNNNNNNNNNNNNNNNNNNNNNNNNNNNNNNNNNNNNNNNNNNNNNNNNNNNNNNNNNNNNNNNNNNNNNNNNNNNNNNNNNNNNNNNNNNNNNNNNNNNNNNNNNNNNNNNNNNNNNNNNNNNNNNNNNNNNNNNNNNNNNNNNNNNNNNNNNNNNNNNNNNNNNNNNNNNNNNNNNNNNNNNNNNNNNNNNNNNNNNNNNNNNNNNNNNNNNNNNNNNNNNNNNNNNNNNNNNNNNNNNNNNNNNNNNNNNNNNNNNNNNNNNNNNNNNNNNNNNNNNNNNNNNNNNNNNNNNNNNNNNNNNNNNNNNNNNNNNNNNNNNNNNNNNNNNNNNNNNNNNNNNNNNNNNNNNNNNNNNNNNNNNNNNNNNNNNNNNNNNNNNNNNNNNNNNNNNNNNNNNNNNNNNNNNNNNNNNNNNNNNNNNNNNNNNNNNNNNNNNNNNNNNNNNNNNNNNNNNNNNNNNNNNNNNNNNNNNNNNNNNNNNNNNNNNNNNNNNNNNNNNNNNNNNNNNNNNNNNNNNNNNNNNNNNNNNNNNNNNNNNNNNNNNNNNNNNNNNNNNNNNNNNNNNNNNNNNNNNNNNNNNNNNNNNNNNNNAAAAAAUAGUUUUAAUAAUAUAUAUAUAUUAAAAAUAUUUUUAAAUCCCAAAUAAUAGUUUUUAAUCACAAAAAAAGUUUUAUAGAUAUUUAAAAUGUUUUGUAAAAUCCAAAAAAUUGAAUUUAUAUAGAAAUUGUUUUUUUGUAAAGUCCAAAAAAUCGAAUUUAUAUAGAAAAAUCGUUUUUUAAAAUACAAAAAUCAAUUUUAUAUACAAAAAUCGAUUUUAUAAAUAGAAAAAAAAAAUUAUACAAAAAUUCUAAAUCAAUUCAACAAAACAAAUCAUUCAACUAAAUCACAAUUCUAAACCUAUUAUAAAAAGAAUUCACAAUCCUAACCAAUCACCUUAACAAAAAUCUAUCAAAACUACACAAAAACCUAACAAAUAGAACCUAAGAGAGUGGGAUAGGGUCCUUACAUGAUUUGUGUAAGAAAAGGGGGAGAUCGCCGGAGAUAUCAUCGGAUUUCAGGGGGAAAUCGCCGGAGAAAAAAGAGAGGAGUCGCGCAGAGGAAAAAGAAAGAAAUGGGGAAGAAGAAGUGGCUCGUGGUUAUAAAACCUAGGGUCCGACGGAUAUUAUCCGUCGGAAUUCCGUCGGAAUUCUAAUUUCAAUUUUCGCGAAAUAUUUGCCCGGUAAAAUGAAAAUAUUCCGAGGAAAUUCCGACGGAUAGUAAAAUAUCCGUCGGAAUUUCCUCGGAAUAUUCCGAGGAAAUACCGAGGAACUAGUGUUUGGGGUUUCAAAACAUCAAUUUUUUUUGCCGUAUUUCAUUUCUUAUACAAUUGUAAUGCAUACCAUUGAGGAUUCUUUGUAUAGAUGAGCAUAAACCAUGAAAUAAAAAAUUUCAAAACUAAUUGAAAGUAUUCCCUUUACCGUUCAUUAAAAGGUAUAAGUGUUUGUCUUAUGUUGCGAGAUUUCGUUCAUACAAUCGGAAAAGUGUUAAUUAUACGGUAAGGAACAAAUUUUUGUCUUCAUAAUGAACGUAAGACACUUAAUAAGGGUUAUAUAUGUGUUAUUCAAACGGCAAAACGUUGUUUUCAGUUUAAAAACCCUAUUUCCUCGGAAUUUCCUCGGAUUAUUCCGAGGGAACUCCGAGGAAACCCUCUUCUUCCUCGGAAUAUCCUCGGAAUAUUCCGAGGAAAUUCCGAGGAACUAGUGUUUGGGGUUUCAAAACGUAAUUUUUUUUAAAUAAACGCAUCGAUCGAUGCGUUUUUGAACAAAAACAAAUCGAUCGAUUACAAAGAUGGACCGGGCCGUAAGAUUGUGAUCGAUCGAUGAGAGUAUCCCAUCGAUCGAUCGAGAAUCUCAAUUGUUCCUCGGAAUGUCCUCGGAAAAUCUUGUAUGUUUUUUUAAAAACGCAUCGAUCGAUGCGUUUUUGAAGAAAAACAAAUCGAUCGAUUACAAAGAUGGACCGGGCCGUAAGAUUGUGAUCGAUCGAUGAGAGUAUCCCAUCGAUCGAUCGAGAAUCUCAAUUGUUCCUCGGAAUGUCCUCGGAAAAUCUUAUAUGUUUUUUUAAAAACGCAUCGAUCGAUGCGUUUCUGAACAAAAACAAAUCGAUCGAUUACAAAGAUGGACCGGGCCGUAAGAUUGUGAUCGAUCGAUGAGAGUAUCCCAUCGAUCGAUCGAGAAUCUCAAUUUUUCCUCGGAAUGUCCUCGGAAAAUCUUGUAUGUUUUUUUAAAAACGCAUCGAUCGAUGCGUUUCUGAACAAAAACAAAUCGAUCGUUUACAAAGAUGGACCGGGCCGUAAGAUUGUGAUUGAUCGAUGCGUUAUAGAACAAAAACGCAUCGAUCGAUGUGUGUUCGGAAAACAGAAUUAUAAGGCAAAACCCGACCUUUUCUGGAUCUAAACCUUAGAACUCUCAUCCCCUUCGAUUUCCCCUAUAAUUCGCCCCCCUUUCUCUCUCUAUAAUCAUCCGAUUUGAACAAUUUUGGGCUCCAUUCCACUUGAUUUUUCGAGCUCUACCUGAUUCCUACACUCGUCUUCACCCUAAGACAGGUAUACUCCGCGAAUCUCCACAUUCUGAAAUCCUGUUCUUGAGCAAUUUUUUGGGUUUUGUGAAUUUCUUAUUUCCGUGUUGAUUCCUUGAUCAAAUAUGCAUGAAACAGAUGUUUAAACAUGGAAUAGAACACAAUUGUCUGUGAUAUGCUGCCCGUUCGCCUCUAUCAUCAUGCCGAGCAGGUCUUCUGUUUUUGGUCUGAACUUCUGCUGGAAAGUAGUACUCGGCAAAGUUUGAAGUUUCUUCAUUGAUCAUCUGUGCGACUAUAGAACCUUCCACCCUACUUAAAUUUUUCACCAUCUUCUUCAAAUGGAACAUAUACCGCUCAUACAGAUACAUCCAUCUAUACUGCACAGGACCACCAAGUUCCAAUUCUCUUGCCAGGUGAAUAACAAGAUGCUCCAUAACAUCAAAAAAUGAGGGAGGAAAUAUCUUCUCAAGGUUGCACUGAAUCACGGCUAUGUUAGUCUUCAAAUUUUCAAUACCUUCAAGAGUCACUGAUCUCGUGCAUAAAUCGCGGAAGAAACCACUUAUCCCUGCAAUUGCUUCAUGAACAUUUCGUGGUAAUAGUUCCUUGAAGGCGAACGGAAGGAGGCGCUGCAUCAUUACAUGGCAAUCGUGGCUUUUCAAGCCAGUAAACUUUCCUUCCUUUCUGUCGAUACAGUUACGCAAAUUUGAUGCGUAACCGUCUGGAAAUUCCACAUCGUUUGAAAUCCAAUCAAAUAACGCAUCUUUUCCCGCUGCAUCAAGUCGGUAUAUGGGAAAAGGAGCCCUACCAUUUUCAUCAACAUGAAGUUCUGAACGAGCACAUAUAUCGACUAAAUCCAGUCUUGACUUCAAAUUAUCCUUUGUUUUACCUUGAACAUUAAGGAUCGUGUUCAUGAGAUUGUCAAAAAAGUUCUUCUCAAUAUGCAUGACAUCUAAAUUAUGCCUUAGCAGAUGAUCCUCCCAGUAUGGCAGAUCCCAGAAAAUACUUUUUUUGUGCCAGUUAUGUAGUUCUCCAACAGCAUCUACCGGAAAACGCUCAUGUCCACCGACUUCUGGCGUCCUUUCUGCACCAAAAUCUCUUAGUUGUAUCUUCAAAUCUUUCCCACAAAUUUCCGGAGGUGGACUGUCAAACACCCUCUUGUUCUUCGUAAACAAAUUCCUACUCCUACGAUAUGGAUGAUCAGGUGGUAGGAAUCUCCUGUGACAGUCAAACCAACACGUUUUCCUUCCGUGUUUUAGUUGGAAAGCAUCAGUGUUAUCUUGACAAUAUGGACAUGAUAGCCUUCCAUGCGUUGUCCAUCCAGACAACAUACCAUAUGCUGGAAAAUCACUUAUUGUCCACAUUAGUACUGCCCGCAUUUGAAAGUUUUCUUUACACGAAACAUCGUAUGUUUCAGCACCUUGAGCCCAUAGUUGUUGCAACUCAUAUAUUAGUGGCUGAAGAAACACAUCAAGUGAUCUCUUAGGAUGCUCUGGUCCGGGAACGAGAAUCGAGAGAAACAAAAACUCUCGUCGCAAGCACAAGUUUGGGGGGAGGUUGUAUGGUGUAAGAAUGACGGGCCAUAGAGAAUAUUGUCUUCCACUCUUGCCAAACGGACUAAAACCAUCAGUACAUAAUCCAAGGUAGACAUUUCUUCUCUCAUACGCAAAGUCGGGAUACUAUGAUUGGAAAUGCUUCCACGCUUUUGCAUCUGAAGGAUGUCUGAUCUCACCAUCUGUUGAGUGCUCCGCAUGCCAUCUCAUUGGUUGCGCUGUGCGUUCAGACAUAUACAACCUCUGCAACCUUUCCGUCAAAGGUAAAUACCACAUCCUUUUAUAUGGCACUGGAACUCUUCCACUCAUAUCUUUAUAACGAGGCUUUCCACAAAAUUUGCAUGUAACCCGCUGUUCAUCCGCCCUCCAAUAAAUCAUGCAGUUGUCGCUGCAUACAUCUAUUACCCGAUACGAUAAACCAAGACCAGCUACGAGUUUCUGAACCUCGUAGUAUGAACCAGGAGCUACAUUAUCCUCGGGUAGAAUACCUUUUACAAAAUCAGCAAUCGCAUCCACACAGUCUUCAGCCAAAUUAUAAUCUGUUUUAAUGCCCAUCAAUCUUGUAGCAGAUGAUAAAGCUGAAUGACCAUCUCUGCAACCUUCGUACAAUGGUUGCUUUCCAGCAUCCAACAUAUCAUAAAAUCUCCUAGCUUCUGCAUUGGGUAAAUCUUCCCCUCUAAAAUGAUCAUUUACCAUCUGCUCAGUACCUACACCAUAAUCUACAUCCGUUCUAAUUGGUUCUUCUAAUCUAACCGCUGGCUGAGGUUCGCUAGUACUACCAUGUUCAUAAUCAGUUUCCCCAUGAUGAUACCAAAUUUUGUAACUUCGUGUAAACCCACUCAAAUAUAGAUGAGUCCAAACAUCCCACUCUUUAAUAACCUUUCUAUUUUUACAAUUAGAGCAAGGACAUCUUAACUUACCUGUUUUUGCUUCCGGUUGUCGGUGAACUAACCCCAUGAAUUCGGUUAUACCUCGUUGGUAUUCUUCCGUAAGCAAUCUCGUGUUCGGAUCCAAAUGAGGUCGAUCGAUCCAAGAACGGAAAUAAUUUGAAGAAGACAUAUUUUUUAUGAAUCAAAUUCGUGUGUAAAUAGAGUAAGAGGGAGGAUGAAGAUAUGGAGUGAAUGAAGAGGAAGAGGAGUGCUUGUUUAUAUAGAUUAAAUCCUGCCGACAUACCGAGGAAAUUCCGACGGAAUUCCGACGGAAAAGGCUAGUUCGUCGGAAUUUCCUCGGAAUUUUGUAAAAUCCCCCAACGGCUCUCCAACGGCUAUAAUAUUUCCUCGGAAUUCAUCGGUUUUUUCCGAGGAACACAUUGUUCCUCGGAAUUUCUUCGGAAUAUUCCGACGGACUGAGGUUUCCUCGGAAUUCCGUCGGUAUAUUCCGAGGAAAUUCCGAGGAAUCCCAAUUUUGUGUUUUCCUCGGUAUAUUCCGAGGAUUUCAUUUUCCGUCGGAAUGUCCGUCAGAAUACCGCUGUUUUCUUGUAGUGUCUUUGAGUGAUGAUAUUAAUAAUUGAGAAAUGUAGGGAUAGUGAAGAGGAGUGACACGGUUUAAUAUAGGAGAGGCUUGUUGAACCGAUAUGAGUACUAUUACUCAUCACUCGCUUGGACCAUUUUCAUUACGUUUAUUUGAUGUUUCUGAACUUAUCUUACCAUAUAUACACUAGAAACCAAUGAACUUUCGGACUAUAUAGUAGGUUGAGGAGUGAGUAGUGAGUACUAUUACUCAUUACUCUCUUGGACCAUUUUCAUAACGUAUAUUUGAUGUUUUGUAAUUGUUUUACCAUAUGAACUUUUUUUUGAACUAUAAACCAAUGAGCUUUCAGACUAUAUACUAGGUGAAACCAAUGAACUUACAGACUAUAUAGUAGGUGUGAUCUCACGCGAACAAAAUAUUCUUACGAGAAUUUAUUAUUUUUUUUUUUAUAAAUCCUAUCGGCUGAUCUAGUCGGUCUUGGGAAGAACGCAUUUAGUACUACAGAUUGGACUGACUACUACCACACUGUCUGACCCAAGUUUAGAAUAUCUUCCGACUGAUAGGGGUGAACCGAUUAUCUGUUACGAUCCACCAUAUAAACCACUUGGACCGAAGCCCAAGCCAAGACUGGCCAAAUGACGAUAAUUUAGUCCCUAGGAAAAAUCGAACCCAAAACUGAUUUGGAUACAUACCAAACCCCCAAAAAUUACCACUAGACUACCACCACUUGGUUAGAAUUUUACUUCUAAUAUCAUAGUGAAUUACGUUCAUUAUAAAUAAGUUAUACUUUGAGAUUUGAAGAUUUGUUGUGGAUUCAAAAACAUAGUCAUAAGUCUGAUAACUCAUAAUUCUCGGUAAACAAAACAAAACUGAAUGUAUGAUACUGAUGUCUUCUUCCUUCGUUUUCGUAGCGUUUUUUUCCGUUUUCGUAAUUAUUAUUGCUAGUUUAUUUUUUGGUAAAAAUGUUAAAAUUUUAUAUCAUUUUCAGUUUUUACAUAAUUUACAAAGAAACACUAGUAACAGAGAAAGGAAAAAAAAAAUCUAAACAACACAGGGAAGAAGAAGAAAAGACAACAUCAAGAGACCUAAAGAGCAAUCAAACAAUCUUAAGUCAUAGAAGCAUUGCAGAAGCUAGAGGUUGACCAAAUGAAUGCAUUGCCAAAUGGAGAUGAUACCUUUGAUGAAAUAUGAGACCACGCUGCAGUAGAAAUUGGCUUGCCUGCUAACGCUGCUCCAAAUGAUUGAUGCCAUCUCCGGACAGCUUUGCAAAUCUCAGUCGAAGAAACUCAAUCCUCCAACCACCACCAGCAGUAGGAAAUUGAGCUUCAAGAACUCCUACCACUACUCUUACCAAAAAGCUCUAGCUGCGCCCACUGGGAAGUUCCACCUAAAUCUCCAAAAGUUAUCAUUAUUCGGUUCGGCUUCAGAACUAAUGCGAACCAUAGCAAAAACUGGGUGCAGUGAGAGCCACAUUCUGAUGUUGUUCUUCCAAACCUACAAUUAGACUAUGGAUAAGCCCACCAUUGUGAACCAAAAGAUUCAACACUGGUGCUGGGAUGACAUAUCCAAACAUGAGGCUCCCUCGACGAACUGUCCCUCCCAUGACCCACAAGAGGUUAAGAAACGCCGCCUCACGCUAAGCCCGAGAACCGGACCUAGUUCCAAGAGCAACGCCAAAGCUACGCCAACGUGGGAGAGCCGGUGAGCAACUCCGACGAACCGGAAAGGAAGACCCUCCAAAAAUAAACAACUGAUGCAAAACGAACACCAAAAGCGGCGAAGACCGAGAGUGACAAGUUGGAGCAACCGCCGGAGGAGACCAAGAACAGGUCAUAGACGGCCCGCCUCAACUCCGAGAAUGGCAGCGGUACACGAACAACACAGCAGCAGUAGCUACUACACAGCAGCCAACAAAACCACGAGCUCGUCUCCGGAGAAUCUCCGAAGCCCCACAGAACCGGAGAAGGUAGGAAGGUCUCACCUACUUGACCUGAGAAAACGAAACCACCUACGCCGGAAACCUCCUCACCAACCUGAAGCAAGACACCAAGCCACCGAAUCUAGAGAGAGGAGACACCCACACACGACCACGCGCUCCCACCGCCACAGAGGAAACAGAUCUAGAAAUUGAAAACCUAGAUCUACUCCACUCCGCAACCCAAAAGCCGACUUUAUCGCCAGUACACCCAAGAACCAACCUCGUCUCGACACCACCACUCCGCGCCAAGCGAUACUUGAAGGUCACUCACCGAGGUAGAGAUUCCUCCGUUUCAGCUCAGCUUCAUCACAACAGGGUCGGAAACAUAUCAGCAGGGAAUGAUGGACCAGUGAGGAAGCAAGAGAUAGAAAGGGAAAAAGAAAACAAGACGCCUCCGGCGGCGGAGAACCACCGGAGCAACCGGAGGAAAGAUGAGCUUUUUCUUUUUCUUUUUGAGAGAGAAAGAGGAAUUUUUUUUUCUCAAAGUUUUGUUUCUUAUUAUUGCUAGUUUCUUAUUAUUGGUUAUUUCUUUUAAAAUUUUAAUUUUCUUUUAAAAUUUUAUUUUUCUCUCUGCUAUUAAAUGAUAUAAAUUAAAACAGUAUCAUCUAUUUUAAAUAAAAUAUUGAAAAUAGUACUGCAAAAAUCUAUGAUCAAAUUUAACUAUUUUACAAUACCGUGAUUAAAAUAUCUUCAUCGAUAAUUACAGUUGCAAAUUAUAAACAUUAAAUUCCAAAAGUAAAAAUAAAGGAUUUAUGUUCAAAUCAUGUUCUGAAAUACUAAUUUACAAUUUUUCAAAUGGAUCACCUUCUGAAUAUUUGAAACUAAAUUCAUUGUUAACUGUAAACCCAAACGCCAAACUAUAGGUGUUUUAGUUUUACCAAAAAAACUAUAGGUGUGUUGGAUUUUAAAUUAUGAAACUCGACUUCAUAUUUUUCCAAAUAAGCCAAAAUAAAUAAAUUGGAUAUUGAAAUAAUUGAAGCCUAUCUCAUUUAACUAAUUGAAAUAAUACAUUUGCCUACUUAAAGUUUGUGCGGAGGGAAUUAUAUUCAGAGCAAAAUCUAAUCCACACGUGGGAAAUGAUCAACUACACUUUUUUUUGAUAAAAAAAAAUUAGAUCGGAAUCUAUUAAAUAUACAUAUCUAAUUUUUAGGUGGGAGGUGCAAUUUACGGACAGACCUUCUCACGGAUAUUUAAAUGGGCCGAAAAUUAUAAAACUGAAGUAUUUCAUUGGUAAAACCAUGUUGUUGUUUUUUUUUAACAAAAUCGCCUAGGAAUCUAUAUAUAAUAGCAAACCUAAUUUUGUUUUCAGCAUUUUUUAAUAGGAAAAAAAAGAAGUUUGAUCUAAGGUUUGAGUUUAUCACUACUUUUAAUCUAACGGACACGAUUUAUUUUAAUCACAAAAUCUUACGUCAUGUAAUUGUUUCCACAGAUUGAUGCACCUCUUCUCUGAUCGACGCACCUUUUUACGGUGACCUCUUUUGAUACGGGAACGACGCACCUUUUAAACUGAUUAUUAGAUUGAAGUACUGGUUAGAGUCGCUAUUUUUUUUCUGAGAACGCUUCUCAAUCGAAGUCCCAAGGAAAAGCUUUGGUUCCUCAUCAUGCUCUGCUCUAACCGGCCAACUCGAUGGCUACAAUUGAUUUCUAAUAUAUCUCGCCGCGAAUCUAAACCGCCACCACCGUCUUCAUUGAUGAUGAGACUGACGUUAUAAAGUUGAUGAGAGAGAAGAGCAAGAAGUAGAAGAAGAAAGUUGUUGCGGUGACAACGCUGCCAUGGAUGGAAUUGAAAGGCUCAAUUUCAAGAAAAUAAGAUACGGAGGAUAGAUCAUGUCAUCUGAUGUUGAGGCUCAACUACGACGCCAAUUUGGAAGCUUCGUCUGUUACAUCUUGUGCUGUUUCUUGGGUCGGAAGCAACCGGGGCAGACGUCAAGUGUAUGUCUUUCUCUAAUCACAUUUCUCUCUAGCCAUUGAAAAUCUGUUUUUUGUUUUCUAAAUUAGUUUUAUAUUAAUUUCCCGUAAUUGAUACUACAUUAGAAAUUCUGUUAUAAGUACUAGGUGUAGAGAUAUGUUUGAUUUAACAAAAGUUUCCGAACGUAUAGAUGAGAUGUUUUUAGAUGUCAGUGAAUAUAAUAUAUUGCAUAGAUGGUAGAUGUAUACACAGGAGAAGACGGUUAACUGGUUCAAAUUAAUUAUCCAUUCCUUAUUUACAUAUCGUUCUUUUUAAUCUCUUGCAUGUUCUUAACUUCAGUUACAUGUUAUUUGUCUGAUUAGGCUGGUUCCAUAUCGAUGGCAAGAGAAUCAAGAUAUCUAAUGAAUAUUUAUACGCUGCAGUCUGAGUAGGCUUGUGAAUGUGAAUGUGAUUGUAUUGCAGAUCCAGCAUCACCCCUGGGACACUACUGAUCAUCCUUGCUGGUAGGUUCAAGGGCAAGAGAGUUAAUUUUUUUUAACCAACUACCCUCUGUUUUUCUUUUUGUGACCGGUGAGUUUUUAUAAUUCUGCCACGUUCUAUUAUCCAUCUUAAGCAUUCACUACUUGUGUCACCUGAUAUGUUCCUAUUUUGUAAUUGGUCCUUCAAGAUCAAUGAUUGCCACGUCCUGAAAGUCUCUGAUGUUAGCCUCGAUAAAUAUGAUGAUCAUUAUUUUGGAAAGGUAGGCGAGAGGAAGAACAAGAAGGGAGAAGGAGAGUCUCUGAUGGAGCCGUGGAUCUAUAUAUCUGAAUUAUAAACACCUAAAGGCAAAAUUCAAAAAGUGUACUAUUUAUAGUACUCAAGUUUAUUGUUUUCUGCUAGGCUUCAAUCUCAAGCUCUCCCUUGUACUUAUUCACUUCUUUCCUCUUCCUCUGCGUGUUGCCUUUCUCUCGUGUCCUUACUUAUACACUCCAAUGUAUCAGAGUCUUCGAGGCAGAGAGAGAGAGAGGUAAUAAUCUUCUUUGGGAAAUAUAUCAACUGUUUUGAUGAAAGACAUAAUACAACUCCUCUCUUCAUUCUCAGAAAGUGCCUACACAUAGGGAAAACGACGACCAGAUGGCUGUGGACGGAGCUUUGAUCAAAGCCAUCGAGGUAGUUUCAGAGUUGAAUACUUGCCUUUGCACAGUUUUCAUUGCACAAGGAAUGGAGCCACAUAAGCUUGUUUUCUAGAUUUUAAAACCUUUUAUGAGCAUCUUAGGUAUAUGUGCCCUCAUGCGUUACUCUUUUUUUGUUCUUGUCCACAUACCAAAGAUAUUUUGACUUUUUUUUUUUUUUUUGGUAUAAAUGUUAAAUUUUAUUACCAAUUUUUGAUUUUGACAGAAUUACAAGAGUUACAAGAAACAAAAUGCAGAAAUGAAACUAAACACAAACUAAUCUAAGACUCAAUCUAAUCUAAGCAAGGCCUACUACAAGCAAAUCAACAACCUAGUGGACACAACAAAGUUGGAACAACCACUUGCCACAAAAGAGAAACUGCAUUAAGCACGAGAGCUGAGCCCGGUAGAAAUUGGCAGUACCCGAUGAAAAACUCUAAGGAUCAACUCCUCAAGAAUAGCUUGUGAGAGACCUCUCAAUCAGCAGCACAAGGAGAGAACACCCGAGCAAGCACUCGCUCAGACAUGACGAGCAUUUAUUUGGAGGAAAAGACCAUAAGUCGAGGUCCCUCACCGAACAAGAAACACGGGUUGAGAAGAGGCUGAUUCGCCUAGAAGCGAUACGGUACCUGCAACCAAGAAGAACGGAGAUCCUCCUAUCAAACACUGCUGAAACAGCAAGCUUCGAUACUGGGAUGGAGGAGAUCCAAAGACGCCGCCACAGAAUGAAAUUGAGCUUUUCUGACCACAAAAACUUGACAGACAUCCACACCAUUCUCCUUUUAGAACAAUAGGAAGAUUCUUCUAGGACUGAGAGAGAGAAACUCGGUGACAGAACGAGCUCUACAAAAACCAGUGAGAACGGGUAACCAAAACCCAACAACCAGAGAGGCCAACUCUAUUGUGGGCUCACCGCCAGACAAACCAGCAAGCCGGAACAAACAAAGACCGAAGAAGAUAAUACCAAACUGACGAUGCCAAAGCAACUACUACUCCACGCGCCUCCGAACCGGAUACCUACACGCGCCGCCGAGAUACAUCUCCUGACACCACCAAGAAACUCAACACGACGCACGCCUUGAUGUUGUGAAACACUGAAGUUCAGCUUGAGAAAGAGGGAAGGCAGCUCCUUGUCGAGACACCAAGACAAAGGAGCGGACACCUACCACCUACACUCCACACCGACAAAGACCCAAACAUAUAGAUCUAAGUUGGGAGAGUUCGAUCCGUAACUCACGCGCCUACACCUCCGGUCAAAAGACAGAUCGAGAAAAGAGAUCUGAAAACUCUCAAUCCGCUUGAAGACCACCCUAAACGCCGACCUCUAACGCAUCCAUGUCUUCCUCGCCUCACCGCAACUCCAGCAAACCACCGUCAAUAGCAUCCUUCGCCGGUGCCCCGGAUCUGGAGAACGAAAUCGAGUGGUCUGACCAGAGCGUUGAUAUAUUGGAGAGAAAUCGACAGAGUGAUAGAGGCAAAGAAAAAAUAGAGAAGGAGGAAGAGCCCUUCCGACGGCGAACCGCCCAAGCCGGUAGAGAAGCGAUUGGAUCUGGAUGUAGAAAGGAUAUAGAGAGAGAAAAAAAAAAGAGAAAGGUUUUUUUCACAACCAUGUUCCCCAUGAGAUAUUUUGACUUGGUACAUUAUAUAUAUCACAUUUGGUAUAAACAAUCUAUCUUAUUUAAUUUGAACUUUGAAGCAAUAUUUUUUAAUAGAUAAUAAUAUUGUUAUGCUGAAAACUCAGCAAAUCUUCAAGUUAACUGGGAUGAGAGCACAAAUAAAUGAAAUAGCUUUUUCCACAAAUAUUUUGUUGUAAUUAGAUAAGAUUGAUACUGAUGUGGACACAUAUCGACAGAGACGUCAGACAAAUUGGGCUAACUACCCGAACUUUACCAUUAUGUUUUUUUAUCUGUAGCUCGGAAUUUCAGAUAAGCUUAUAACCUGAAAGAAAUAUAGUUACUAAUAGAUUCGGAACGUCGUGCGUGAGUGAGUUCUACUCUCUCCUACUCCAAUUUUCCUUUGUACUUUUACCAUUCGAAUGAUAAAGCUGACUUACACGAUGGGAAAAACAUUUGUGUCACAUGUAAGUUGUAUUCUAAGUUCACCUUUGAUUUGAGUUUGCAAUUGGAAUAUAUUCAAAUAUUCUCUGCAUCACAACCCAUUAGCCAUCAACAGACAACCGCGAACAAAAAUGAGAACAAAAGAUUUGAAGUAAUCUCUAUUUUAUAUAACGAUUAACGAUGUCUCAUUUGCUUCUGAAAUGACAUUCUUUUGGUGUCAACGUGUCAUUUGCAUCUUUUAAUAAAUCUGUAUAUGAAAGUUUCAAAUUUUGUUAUCGCUUCAUAAUUCUAUUGAUAUCAUCAAGAGAUAAAUCUCUUUUCAAAUGGUUAGGGAUGCGUAGGAGGAGAUGGAGUGAAUCUGUGGCCAGCGAGUAAUCUGUUAACAUGCUUUCCCUUAUAUUUGUUCUCAACUAGUAUAUUACUAGGAUAAUAUAUGCGCCUUGCGCAUCGUGAGUUUAUUCGUAUAUAUUAUCGACAAUUUUUUUUUUAUAUAUUUGAUCAUUUUAUUUAUACAUAUAUAAUAAUUUUUGUUUUUAUUAUAUAAUUUCUUUCCGAUGGACCGGAUCAAUUUUUAUUAAAAAUUAUGGAACUAAACGAUAAAUUAAUAAAUCAUGGGUUGAUCGAAUUGGACAUUAAACAAAUUAUAACACAAAAACCUUAUUUUUUUUCCACCUAACACAUUUAUGAAAAAGUGAAAAGUAUUGUUUCCACAGUUGAAUUAUCUUGACCUUUAUCUUCCAUAAGGUUUUGAAAGGUUUCAGAUCAACCAUCGAAUUGAUACAUGUCAUUUUAAUGGUUUUAGUCGUAUGCUUAAGGAUAACUUACAUUUUUGUAAUUUAAAGUCGUUUCAAAAAUUUAAAAUAUAAAAUAUAAGAAAAAAUAUAACAUAUAAUUAAAAUAUAACAUAUAAGGUUUCUUCAUUUUUGUAUUUUAAAGUCGUUUUAAAAAAAAUUAAUAUAUAACAUAUAAGGUUUCCUCACUUUUUUAAUUUAAAGUAAUUUUUAAAAAUUCAAAAUAUAACAUAUAAGAAAAAAAUCUAAUUUUAUUAUUAUAUGGUUAAUGUGAUUGUUUAAUGUUUUUUAAUAAUAUAAAAUUAAAAAAAUGAAGAAAAAUGCAAAAAGUUGUUAUCAAAUCUUUAUUAUUCAUUGUCAUUAAUUGUCAUAUAUAUGUUAAACAUAUUAGGUAAUUCCGUGGCUUUUAUUUAAGAAAAAAUACACGCUUCUUAUAUUUUGGGUUAAUAUAAUGUUCCCUAAUAAUUGGAUUUGAACAAACAUUUUUUCAGUUGAUUUUUAAGCUGACACGUAAGCUAAAUUGACAUCCUAAUUAAGUGACACUUAAGCAUGGUCUCUUUUUAAUUAGUAUAAAAUUAAGGUUACAACUUUUUAAAUGAUCCUCAAUUAAUAUAUAAGGGAUUUAUAGAUCCCGACUUCUUUCGUCUUUGGAAUCGUUAUUUUUUAGAAGUUUUUAAACUGCAGUUAGUUACAAUAUUUUUCAACUCAAAUCUUAUUGUGCAUUUUCUUAUACAUUGGUUAUAACUCCUAAAUUAUUUUUCUACUUGAAUCAAAAUUAAUGUCAAUAGUUCUUCUUUUAUUUGAAUGAAUGUAAAUUUAUUUAGUCAAAACCUAUAUUACAUUAAGUGCAGCUGUUUUUUCUAAGUUUACAGAAUCAAAGAAUGAGUUCUAAAAACCGAAAAAUAAUGAUCCUUCAAGUUGGAGAUGAGCCCUGUCUUGUUCGAAACCAAGUAACCAAACUCUCCUCUAGGAACUUUUGACCCCUCCCUUGAAAUGAUAAAAGCUUGAGUCUAAUGGUUUUGUCCACAAAUUUGAUCAGACAGAUCACAUCCCUUGCCUGCUCACCAUGCUGACGUGAGUUUCUCUCCCUCCAUACCAUAUGAACUACUGCUUGAAAUGUGUAUCGCACAAGAAAAUCCUUGGUAGGAGUAAGUCUUGGAUUGGAAAAAAAUAUCAAUUAUAUCACUCCAUAUGGUUGUGAAGGUAUCUUAAAACAGCCUCCCAACAAGAGGCUUCCAAAUCUAAUCUGACUACCGACAACGAAAGAAUAGAUGGUGACAGGUCUCUUGAGAAUCGUUACACGGCACACAUAUCGUGUUUAUUGCAGAGUUCCAUAGCAGCAUUCUAUCACACGUUUGCAAUCUUUGACGCAUGGCUAUCUAAACAAGAAAAUCUUCUUUUUCGGUUACAUGUUUGUAUCUUUUUCCAAAUUCUAUGAUCCUCUCUUCUCUCUUUUCAAACUUGUAUGCAUAAGUAAUUAUAAAUGAGGCAGAAUUGUUCAAGAAAUGGCCAAUUAAGUUUGAAAUAGGAACUCUCUUUAAACUGAAUUCUAAGGGAGACAAACGCUAGGAGAAAUGUAUUAAGUGGUUAAAACAGAUAAUUAUGAAUUUAUGAUGAUAGAUGUUCCCAGAAACAUAUGAGUUUAGCUUUACGAACUUUCUAUAUACAAAUAAUUAUUAGUCUUAUUGAGAUAUGGUAAUUUGGUGUUUCAAUUAGCACAGUGGACAUAUAUCAUAUUUAUAUGAAUAAUCUAAUGGUUUUGAAGUUUAAUAUUUCUAUAUAAAUACUUUAAUAUGCUGUUUUUCAGUGGAAUCCACGUAAUGUCAUGUGGAUGAUGUCUGUUACAUUCUUUUUGUACCAAUUUCUGAUUUUCAAAAAGUUUAUCCAGAUCGUUAGGAAGUUGUAAAUGAAUGAUUGUUAGGUGAGACAAAACAAUUACAAAAGAGUAUGGUCCAAAGCAGCCUCAACAACAUCCUCAAGUGCAUCACUUAUCUGUUUGCAUCUGAGAGGGUUAGUUUGGACUCGAAAAAAGAAGUGGAGAGACCUCAGAGGUAAGUUUCUUUGGAGAACAUGGUAUUCCUAAUGUUAUAUAUAAGUAAUUACAAGAACAAACAUAAUCUGAAAAUUACAACUUGUAGAACAUAUUAUCCCAAAUUCAAAUUUCAGAAUACCCUUAAAACAAAAUUUUGAUAAACAACUUAACUGUAUUACAUCUAAAUAAUUUGAAAAGUUUUGAUAUAAUAUAAUUUUUUUUGUCUUAUCAUAUAAAGAAAUUUUGUGUAUCCUAAUACUUGACAAAGAUCGAAAUUCAUUGAUUUAUUUUCUUUCAUUUCAAUGUAUUUUAAAAUUUAGUGUUAUUUAAACUAUCAGCAUUUUUGUUAAAUGUUUCAAGAUUCAACAAUCUUUAUACAUCUUGACUGAACAGUUUUAUUUUACAAAAUUGACCUGUAUUUAAAAUAAAAAAAUAAGACAAAAUUAUUCUUUUUAUAUUUUGUACGUGUAUAAUAUACUCCUUUUUUUUUAAUAUUUGAAGGUUUGGAAAAAAAUUGUUUCAAAUUAGAUGAUGUUUUCAAUUUCUAAUGAAAAAACUAUUAUUUUUUUUAUGUUAGGCUUUAUGUAUUUUGCAGUUGGUUUUUCUAUUGGUCAGAUUAUGGUUAAGUAGAACUAUUAUUAAUAUUUUUGUGUAAAAAAUUUACAUAUUAAAUAUUUUUAGACGUUAUAUACCAUCCUAAAACAUCAUCUAAUAAAAACGAAAAGAAUAAUUAGCAAAACAUGUGUGUGAUAAAAAAAUAAAUUUAAUAAAUAUGUAAACUAAAUGAAAAAUUAUUAUGUUAAGAUAAAUUAAUUGUUAAAUAGAUUUUUUUUAUUAAUAUCCAAUCAUUUAAAUUUGACCGUAAAUAAUUUAAUUGAUUCGCGCGGAUUUGUUUUCUAGUAUUAAAUAAAAGCAAAGUAGUUUCAUAACGAAUAUGUAAAACGUGCUUUUAUAAUCCUUGUAACCAAAAAAUUGUCGUUCUUCAGUUCUAUCUAAUUUUCAUUUUCCGAGCAUAAUUAAAAAUCCAUAUUAAAUGUAUGGAACUCGUUGAACCACAUGCUGUAUGGACCUGGCACACCGACAAGUCUGUACGUGCGGGCCACUGCGAACGUUAGGAAAGCUAUUUUCACAUAUUAUUCGUAUUGAUUAAAUCGAAUAAACGUAAAAAUGACGAAAUUUAAUACUACUUCAAAGUUCAAAGUUAUAUGAUUUUGUCAGUGUAGUCGUGUAUUUUUUGUCUGUUCUUGUGGUCUAUACAUCGCCACUUGCUUUUGCUCCCAAAUAGUGUCGUCUACGCAACAUACUCAUAACUAAACGCGUUUACACUGUUAAGAUACAUGCACCUGGAUACGAGACCAAACGAAUAGUUUGAAUUUAGUCCCGAAAUCAUACCUUAUGAAACGUGUUUAUACUAUCAAGAGACAAGAGCAAGUUUUCUAUCAAGAGACUAUGCAUAAAAAUCUUGGUACUUUAUAAUCAAUCAUAUCGUUAUUAUUGGUCGGAUUGCUCAGACAACACAGCUUCUAUCAUUUACACCCAGCAUAUUUCACCUUCAAAACCUAUACAAGACCAAUUUAAUAUGAACAGGAAAACAAACAUUCACUUAUACAUGUAAUAUUUGUUGUAAAUAAAGUGUUGGGAAAUACUUCUUUUAUUAUUACUGUCGACCAGAAGGUCCAUAUAUAUACAAGGUAUUAGACCGUCAUAAGGUCAUGUUUAUCCUAACAAGAUAAGGAUAAGGAUAAACACUAUGUUACAGAUAUACAUGGAAUAUAUACUAGAUAAACACAUAGUCUCUGGUUGUCUUUAUCAUGUCCCGAAUUGGGCCUGCAGUACGGGCUGGUCCAUGGUCGAUCAUCAUUUGGUUUAUAACACUCCCCCUUGAUCGACACAUCCGGCACAGGUUCAUUGCAUGCUUAAUGUUGCCUCAUUAAAACAUCUCCUGAAAAACCCCAAAACCAAUGUAAAUGGGAAACCAAGGAUAGGAAAAAGAGUACAACACAUGAAUUCCCCCAGAUGAAUGCAUCACUGUAGUAGACGCAUUCCCAUCUGGUAUCCGAGUCUUCUUGAACGUUGAAGUUGCCUAUGACUUGGUGAAGAUGAUCAGCUGGAUUCUCCUUGAAUGAACUUGUAAGUCUUGGAUGAACUGAUGGUGCUUCAAACGGUGCUCGGAUGGACUUUAUAAUCUGCAAUAAAACUUUACUUGCAGGUCCUUUUUCAUGUCCCACGGAUUCUCUUUGGUUAUAUGGCUUUCCCAAAACGUGGACAUUCAAUAUAUAUUGAGUCAUAGACCCAGAACACAUACGAACAACUUUACUUCAUAUCUUUCGUUCAUUCGGACUUAUAUCUCUUCGUAUGUGCUAAUGGCUUUAUCCAUUGUAACCAAUCAUUCUUUAUUUUCUUUUGUUGAUCCAUGUUGAGCUAUAGACCUUGUCUAUAUUCGUUCGUAAUCAUGAGUGUCUAAGGUCAUACCAUAAAUAAUUAUUUGCUGCAAUGAAACUCAUCACACAAUGAAUUCGCAGUCAUACACUCAUGUCCUUUGUACAUGGUUAUCGAUCUUUUCUUGCUUUAGCAAUGCUUAUAAUCAUUAAGCCACGACCAGACAUCCUUCUGGUCACUAUCCUGGUUUAUGGUUCUCACUUAGGCGUGCUGACACACACACACACGGCUAUGAUUUUUCUACAUACAUUCCAUAUGUAAAACAUAGACUAUUUAAUCAAUCGAUAACUUGUAUCAUUGAACCUUUGAACCAUUAAACAUUUUUCUCUCAGUUGGUCUUUAUUAUGAUCACAAGGAAUUAUAAUAUUUUCUGUAUGGACUGACUGUACUAAGUAAAUACUUAGUCUUUCAUAUUACUUACAGCUGCUGUAUAUUACAAUCCAUAAACAACUUAGGAACAAAGCUUGUUCUAUGAGAAUUUCUUUCUCAUAUUUCUAUGGUACGUUGAUACCUUUAUACAGUGAUCCAUUUGCUGCUUACUACACCAUUAUUUCUUUAGUAAAUAUCCAGACAAAAUUAAACUUGAUUUUCUGUAGUAGCAUCCACCAUAUAGGAGCAUAUCUCUUUAUAAAUUGUUUCUUGGUCCUUGUGAGUAUCCUUGUGUAAUCAAGCUAUACUUGAAUGUUAUUUAGAAGGAACAUGGACACACUAUACCAUGUGGUCAUGUCCUUUAAUCUCACGAAAUUUCUUAUCUCACAAGAUCCAUUCACUGGUUUCUUUCUUAGAUGGCUUUUCUGUAUGUACAUGGUUACUACGCCCAUCUGUCUUAUAAUUACUUUGAAUUCUUUGAACAUCCCACGUCCCUAUAUAGGUUUUAUGAGUACUCUAUGUGGGUUCAUGAUCCUCAGGUUAUAUCAUUCAAAUCUCAAGUACUACAAUCUUUUAUGAGCUCUUAUGUAUGUAAAUACAUCUUUGGUGUUAACACUCUUUAUCUUUAGUUUCAUACUGUUCCAGACAUGAUCUAAUUAGAUUUUGAGAUCUUAUUACCCAAGACCUUUAUACCUUGCAGUUUGGCAUCCCAAACUACAUGGUCUGGUACCUUAGAUGUGUGGUUGCGCAACCUUAUUUCUCUGUCUGAACUGGUUUCUCUUAUGAACUCAAAUUUGUACGAUUCUGAGCACCUUUCAUUACUUUUCGAGGUUCCUUAUUAUUUGGAACUUAUUUGUCUAUCUCUAAUAGACAUUGUAGCAACUUGAUUGUGUCUCUUAGACAUCAAAUUCGUGGUGCUUAAGCUGGUAUGACAUAGUCAUUUUUUCUUUUCGGGUCAGUGUGUCUGACAUAUAUUUCUGCUAGCUUUUAUAUCUUUUGAUCAUAUUCUUUUAGAACGUCUAGAUCAUAAUCUUUGGUCUGAGGAUCUUGCCAAGACAACUAUGGUUGAUACCAUUAUAUUUCUCUUUUACUCUUUACUCUUUAUCAGCCUGAUAACUUUCUCCUUUUAAAGUUGGAUAAUCAGAUUACUAUCUUUUGUAAUCUGUGUUCUUGGCCACUUGAUUAAAUCAUCCAUGUUUGGCACAAGAUACAUUAUAGUUUCGUGGAGGAAGUCUUAUUUAUCUAAUAUAUAUUCCCAAUCCUCAUCUGAGGUUCCAUCUUAAAUGGCACACAUAUAUGUGGUGGAAUAUUCGUAUUUUCUUAAGAUAGUUUGUGUAUAUAUCUGGUUUAUGACCCUUAAUCAUUCAGAGGUGGGAAUGUCUAUGCUUACAUGUAUGGCCUGAUGUAAAUCAAUAUUUAUAUACAUAAUGUCCUUAAGCUUUAGGCUGUACGUGGGUGAUGUACCAUUAGUGAGAGCUUUAAAGCUUUUCAGCCGUGUAUAUUAUGGUUGUCAACCAUGGAAUCCGAAUUUAUGAUAUGAUCAUGGACUGUGGGUUUUAGUCCUCUCUCCCCCUCAUGAACAUACUCAUAAUUUCGUAGUGCUUAGGACAGUGGAGCCUUAGUUAUUUUAGUGAUUUUCCCUUUUGUGUACUUAUAACACAUUGUGAGAUUUUAUGAGAUCACUUUUGUGCCUUAAUUAAUUUUUCAUUAUGUUUUGGAUCAAGAUGGCUAAUCUGGUCAUGCAAUAAGUGUUUAUUUCGUGGUGAACCAUACUGGUUACCAUGGCUUUAUGCCUCUUUCAUACUGAUCCUUAGCAUAGAAUAAAUCAGUAGAAAAUAUGAGUAUAGGCAUUCAUAAUGCUUUUAGGCGAUUUUUCAAAAAUCUGAAAGGAAUUGUAUUUUCUUUGCUCAAUGGUUCAAUGUAGAAAACAUUGAAAUUUUUUUUUCUUUAUAACUCAAUGGGUCUGAAUAAUGUCGUGUCUUUUACCAUUAUCAGUACCAAUUAAUUGAUUUCAAGUGAUUGUAGGAAGGUAAAGUUGAACCUAUACAAUCAAGAUGAAGUUAAAUCUAUGCGAGAAAUCAAUCUAUCAGUGAACUGACUCAUUAGUCUACACCCAACAACUGAUUUUAUAUGAUUGCGGGAAGGUAAAGUUAAACCUAUACAAUCAAGGUAAAGUUAAACCAUGCAUGAAAUCAACUAUCAGUGGACUGAUUAUCCUUUUAUUAAGGUUUUAUUUGUUAUUUAAUCAGGAAUCAUCAAGCAAUUUAUUAUAUACUUUUCGAUUUAAAAAUAAAUAUAUUUUCUCAGAUAUAUCUCUCAUAUUUCGAUUUUAAAUAUUAAAAAAAAUAUUUUUUUUCAAUCCUAAUCAAGUUCUAGUCGUUAUCAAUCAUCAGGAAAAUAAAUUUCUCAGACAAAAACAGGAGGUAAAACCUCGGAUUAAUUUAUGAAACCAUGAUCAGAUUUUCAAAAAAAAUUAUGUAACAUGCAGUCCUUAACAGUUCUAGUUGAUUCAGAUCAGAUAAGAACAUUAAACAGGACAAUAAUGAUAAGUUUAAGCAAGUAACAGUCGGUUUCUUUCAACAUAUAGCAGUCAGAUUUUAAAAAAAUUGUUUAACUUUCAAUCCUAAACAGUUCUAAUGUGAAACUAUCAUCACGAAAAGUUUUAAACAAUUUUAAAAUCAGUUUCAGAUUAAGAACAUGUUGAAAACAAGUUCAGGUUCGAGAUUUUAAAAAGUUUAUGGUUUCUGGUUUUAUUUUAUUUGCAGAGACAUGUUGCUAAAUAUAGCUACAUGGCUGCGGAUGGGGGGUAUUUAAUACUUUUAUGGGUUUUAGAUGAGUUUUCGAUGAUACCUGAAAACUUUUGAUGGGUUGAUCGGUCUAUCAGUUAGAGAUCUUCCUUGUUAGCUGAUGGAUUGCUCGGAAUUAUUGUUUUUGUUGCUGCUUGUUAGAAUAAGAGACUGAUAUAUGGUUGAGAGAGAUUUUGGUUUCUGGAACAAAUUUUCCGCCUGUAUUGUAGCUGAGUGUGAGGGCGCGUCCGAACUCCGAUUGAUGCGGGGUUAGCGGCGUUGGCUUCAUCUCGUCAAGAGCUUUAAUUUGGUAUCUGGCUCGUCGUCUGGAUCCACCGGAGUUGAAGGAUAGAGCUGUUUGAAGUUCGUCGGGAAUUAGGGUUUUUACUGCUCAGAUUUAUUUCUGGUUUUUUGGGUUAGACUUUAUGAGAGCAACGUCGUGCUGAUAACGUGUUGUAAAUGAAGUGUUGGGGAAAUACUUCUGUUAUUAUUAGUGUCGACCAGAAAGUCAAUAUAUAUACAAGGUAUUAGACCGUCAUAAGGUCAUGUUUAUCAUAAAAAGAUAAGGAUAAGGAUAAACACUAUGUUACAGAUAUACAUGGAAUAUAUACUAGAUAAACACAUAGUCUCUGGUUGUGUUUAUCAUGCCCCGGAUUGAGCCUGCAGUACGGGCUGGUCCAUGGUCGAUCAUCAUUUGGUUUAUAACAAUAUUUUUAUUUUCCAAUAUUUUUGAGAUUUUACAGUAUCACCAGUCAAAACCUACGAUUUGAAUUAAACUUCCCAAUAUCUUAUUAAUAUAGCAAACAUUACAUUCAAGUUGAUUCAAUUUAUAGGGCACAAUAUUAUAAGUGCUACAGACAAACAACGUAACUUAUUACAACAAACCAAACAAGAAAAAAAAAGGCUUCUAGGGAACUUCAAUUCUUAAGAUUUAUAAUUAAGGACUAGGCUUCAAGGUGUUGGCAACAUCAAUCACAAAACGGUAUCUAACGUCAGCCUUCUGGAGCCGUUCCAUGGCAGUGUUGACAUAAUCCGCAGAGAUAAGCUCAAUAUCUGCCGUGAUGUUGUGUUUUCCGGCCAAAUCCAUCAUCUCUUGAGUCUCUUUUAUCCCUCCUACCAUACUUCCC
rnacentral:lncRNA from 1 species